rnacentral:rRNA from 1 species
CCUACGGGAGGCAGCAGUGGGGAAUAUUGCACAAUGGGGGAAACCCUGAUGCAGCGACGCCGCGUGAGUGAAGAAGGAUUUCGGGAUGUAAAGCUCUAUCAGCAGGGAAGAAGCAAGACGGUACCGGAGGAAGAAGCACCGGCUAACUACGUGCCAGCAGCCGCGGUAAUACGGAGGGGGCAAGCGUUAUCCGGAUGUACGGGGUGGAAAGGGAGCGUAGACGGUAUGGCCAGUCGGAAGUGAAAGCCCAGGGCUUAACCCUGGGACUGCUUUGGAAACUGUUAGACUAGAGUGCUGGAGCGUUCAGUGUCCUUCCUCUUGUAGCGGUUCACUGCUUAGAUAUUAGGCGGCACCCCAGUGGCGACGGCGGCUUACUGGACCGUACCUGACGUUGAGGCUC